rnacentral:tRNA from 1 species
GGAGAGAUGGCUGAGCUGGUCUAAGGCGCACGAUUGGAAAUCGUGUAUACUAGAAAUAGUAUCAAGGGUUCGAAUCCCUUUCUCUCCGCCA